UCGGAUGUGGUGCAGGGCAGCACGGCUUCCCUUUCUGGGACUUCCUUACGGUUAGGCGGAGGCAAACUCGGGUUCAAUUCCCGGCGUCCGAG